rnacentral:rRNA from 1 species
GGUGAAAAGAACCCCGGGAGGGGAGUGAAAGAGAACCUGAAACUGUGUGCUUACAAGUAGUCAGAGGACGUUAAAGUCUGAUGGCGUGCCUUUUGUAGAAUGAACCGGCGAGUUACGGUAUUUAGCAAGGUUAAGUCUAAAGGGACGGAGCCGAAGCGAAAGCGAGUCUUAAUAGGGCGGUAAGUUGAAUGCUGUAGACCCGAAACCCGGCGAGCUAGCCAUGAGCAGGUUGAAGUUUGAGUAAAAUCAAAUGGAGGACCGAACUAGGGCCUGUUGAAAAAGGCUUGGAUGACUUGUGGCUAGGGGUGAAAUUCCAAUCGAGCUGGGAUAUAGCUGGUUCUCCCCGAAAUAACUUUAGGGCUAGCGUUAAACAAGAGUUUUAUGAAGGUAGAGCACUGAAUAGUAGAUGGUCCCACCUCGGGAUACUGACAUUAAUCAAACUCCGAAUGUCAUAAAACGCGUUUAGCAGUCAGACUGCGAGUGAUAAGGUCCGUGGUCAAAAGGAAAAGAGUCCAGACCGCCAAAUAAGGUCCCAAAAUAUAUGCUAAGUGGAGAAGGAUGUAGAGAUGCCUAAACAACUAGGAUGUUGGCUUAGAAGCAGCCAUCAUUUAAAGAGUGCGUAAUAGCUCACUAGUCGAGUGACUCCGCGCCGAAAAUGUACCGGGGCUAAGCAUAUUACCGAAUUUGCGGAUUCGAUACGAAAGUAUUGAGUGGUAGGGGAGCGUUCCAUAUUGGGAAGAAGCAAGAUCGAGAGGACUUGUGGACUAUAUGGAAGUGAGAAUGCCGGUGUGAGUAACGAAAAGACAGGUGAGAAUCCUGUCCGUCAAAAACCCAAGGUUUCCAGGGGAAGGGUCGUCCGCCCUGGGUAAGUCUGGGCCUAAGGUGAGGCCGAGAGGCGUAGCUGAUGGAUAUCUGGUGUAUAUUCCAGAACUAGUAUAAUGACUGAUGGAGUGACGAAGAAGGCUAGGAUCCGAUUCUUAGUGGAUUGAAUACGAGAUAUCAAGAGGGGAUGUAGGCAAAUCCGCAUCUAGAAAUCAAGAUAUGACAGGUAAAGGAUAACGAAGUCAAGCUUCCAAGAAAAGCUUCUAGGGUUAAUCAUUAUACUACCAGUACCGUAAACCGACACAGGUGGGUGAGGAGAGAAUUCUAAGACGCGCGAGAAAACCCUUGUUAAGGAACUCUGCAAGUUGGCCCCGUAAGUUCGCAAUAAGGGGAGCUCAUGUAAAAGUGAGCCACAGAAAAGAAGCCCAAGCAACUGUUUAACAAAAACACAGGUUUAUGCAAAACCGUAAGGUGAAGUAUAUGAGCUGACACCUGCCCGGUGCUGGAAGGUUAAAAGGAGAGGUUAGAGCAAUCGAAGCCUUGAAUUGAAGCCCCAGUAAACGGCGGCCGUAACUAUAACGGUCCUAAGGUAGCGAAAUUCCUUGUCAGGUAAGUUCUGACCCGCACGAAAGGUGUAAUGUCUUUGGGCACUGUCUCAACAGGGGACUCGGUGAAAUCAAACUGCCGGUGAAAAUGCCGGCUACCCGCGAUUAGACGGAAAGACCCCAUGGAGCUUUACUGUAGGUUGAUAUUGAUAUUUGGUAUGUAAUGUACAGGAUAGGUGGGAGACUAUGAAGCUAGGACGUUAGUCUUGGUGGAGUCGACGUUGGGAUACCACCCUUUGCCUAUCGAGUAUCUAACUAGUGUAAGUGGAUUACAAAGGACAGUGUCAGUUGGGCAGUUUGACUGGGGCGGUCGCCUCCUAAAGAGUAACGGAGGCGCUCGAAGGUUCCCUCAGAAUGGUUGGAAAUCAUUCGCAGAGUGUAAACGCAGAAGGGAGCUUGACUGCAAGACAAACAAGUCGAGCAGGGACGAAAGUCGGAGUUAGUGAUCUUACGGUACCGCGUGGAAGGGCCGUGACUCAACGGAUAAAAGCUACCCUGGGGAUAACAGGCUGAUCACGCCCAAGCGUUCACAGCGACGGCGUGGUUUGGCACCUCGAUGUCGGCUCGUCGCAUCCUGGAGGUGGAUAAGCUUCCAAGGGUUGGGCUGUUCGCCCAUUAAAGCGGCACGCGAGC